rnacentral:rRNA from 1 species
UGCAGUCGGACGGGAUUCAGGGAGUAGCUUGCUACGAACUGAUGAGAGUGGCGCACGGGUGCGUAACGCGUGAGCAACCUACCCAUAUCAGGGGGAUAGCCUCUCGAAAGAGAGAUUAACACCGCAUAACAUCAUUUACCGGCAUCGGUUUUUGAUCAAAUAUUUAUAGGAUAUGGAUGGGCUCGCGUGACAUUAGCUAGUUGGAGAGGUAACGGCUCACCAAGGCUACGAUGUCUAGGGGCUCUGAGAGGAGAAUCCCCCACACUGGUACUGAGACACGGACCAGACUCCUACGGGAGGCAGCAGUAAGGAAUAUUGGUCAAUGGAGGCAACUCUGAACCAGCCAUGCCGCGUGCAGGAUGACUGCCCUAUGGGUUGUAAACUGCUUUUGUCAGGGAAUAAACCUUUCUACGUGUAGGAAGCUGAAUGUACCUGAAGAAUAAGGAUCGGCUAACUCCGUGCCAGCAGCCGCGGUAAUACGGAGGAUCCAAGCGUUAUCCGGAUUUAUUGGGUUUAAAGGGUGCGUAGGCGGUCCUAUAAGUCAGUGGUGAAAGACGGCAGCUUAACUGUCGCAGUGCCUUUGAUACUGUAGGACUUGAAUCUAUUUGAAGUGGGCGGAAUAAGACAAGUAGCGGUGAAAUGCAUAGAUAUGUCUUAGAACUCCGAUUGCGAAGGCAGCUCACUAAGUUAGUAUUGACGCUGAUGCACGAAAGCGUGGGGAUCAAACAGGAUUAGAUACCCUGGUAGUCCACGCCCUAAACGAUGAUAACUCGAUGUUUGCGAUACACAGUAAGCGGCCAAGCGAAAGCGUUAAGUUAUCCACCUGGGGAGUACGGCCGCAGGAUUGAAACUCAAAGGAAUUGGCGGGGGCCCGCCCAAGCGGAAGAACAUGUGGGUUAAUUCGAU